UAAUACGUAGGGUGCGAGCGUUGUCCGGAAUUAUUGGGCGUAAAGAGCUCGUAGGCGGUGUGUCGCGUCGGUCGUGAAAACUUUCAGCUUAACUGGGAGCUUGCGGUCGAUACGGGCAUCACUGGAGUUCGGCAGGGGAGACUGGAAUUCCUGGUGUAGCGGUGAAAUGCGCAGAUAUCAGGAGGAACACCGGUGGCGAAGGCGGGUCUCUGGGCCGAUACUGACGCUGAGGAGCGAAAGCGUGGGGAGCGAACAG
rnacentral:rRNA from 1 species